rnacentral:lncRNA from 1 species
GUGAGUGUAAUUGGGGUGUUAACGAAACUUUCAUUAGGUACACAAUGGAGAUCAAUGCUCUUGCUCGUGAGGCAUUGAUAAAUGCCAAUGGAGUAAUAGAGAACAAUUUCGCUCCAGGGAAACUCUCCAUCCUUCUAAGUUCAGUUGCCUAUGACCAGCACUGGCAGUUUGACUUGCAAGCUCUCCCUGCUGACCUCAUCCACAGGGGAUUGGCAGAGGAGGACCCAAAUGCUCCUCAUGGCUUAAAGCUAUCCAUAGAAGACUACCCUUAUGCCAAUGAUGGCCUCAUUCUCUGGGAUGCUAUCAAAAGUUGGGUCACUGACUAUGUGAACCAUUACUACUCAGAGCCAGAAACAAACACAGGUACAUGGAAAAUGGGGCGUUCGUCCACGAGAAAAAAUUCCUUAAAAUAUAAGGCUUAAACAAGUUUUUAGUUCUCUAAUUUACACUCAAAUUUGGUUUUGGUUCCUACCAUCUAAUUUUUAUGGUUUUGGUCCCUACUUUUACAUAUCAAUCUGGUUUCAGUCCCUCCUCCGUUAACUGGUAAUGUAAUUAGUUGAAGGUCACGUCAUCAUGGCCACGUGUCCAGAAUAAUCUUACAUGGCAUGUUUUGCUGGAAAGUCAGAUACGAUAGCUUGCACAGUGCACUUAUAAUAAAUGAAAUUCUUAUAGAUUGAAAAAUGAUAACCUUUCAUAUAGUGAUUUUUUUUAUAAAAUGAGCUUGUAAGUGUAUCUGAUUUGGAAGCAAAAUAUGCCAGAUGUGAUUACUCUGGACCAGACUUGUUAAUAGCUCGCUAUAGCGGCGCAAUAGCCUAUAGCGUAGCGCCCUAAGGGUCCCGCGGGUUCGGGCCCCACUGCCAUGCCUAAAAGUACCAAUCUUCUUUCAAUGAGUCUUCCACAGAGGUAGAGCCAACAAAUGCAGUCAAAUUGCUUUUAGGCCUCCAUUCUUUCUUCUUUGAUUUGUAAUUCCCAGACUGACAUGUCUUAGCCUUUGGAUAUCCAUGUAACCUAUAAUAGGUACGGCUUUCUUUUAUUUAUGCCUCAUUCCCACUUUCUCUUUAUUCCACUCACUUUCUCUUUCUAACUCUAUCUUCAAUUCCUAUCACUCAUCUUAUUGUUCAUUUCCUUCUAUGAGUGUGAGUGUAAUUGGGGUGUUAACGGAACUUUUUCAUUAGGUACACAAUGGAGAUCAAUGCUCUUGCUCGUGAGGCAUUGAUAAAUGCCAAUGGAGUAAUAGAGAACAAUUUCACUCCAGGGAACCUCUCCAUCCUUCUAAGUUCAGUUGCCUAUGACCAGCACUGGCAGUUUAACUUGCAAGCUCUCCCUGCUGACCUCAUCCACAGGGGAUUGGCAGAGGAGGACCCAAAUGCUCCUCAUGGCUUAAAGCUAUCCAUAGAAGACUACCCUUAUGCCAAUGAUGGCCUCAUUCUCUGGGAUGCUAUCAAAAGUUGGGUCACUGAUUAUGUGAACCAUUACUACUC